UACGUAGGGCGCAAGCGUUGUCCGGAAUUAUUGGGCGUAAAGAGCUCGUAGGCGGUUUGUCGCGUCUGUCGCGAAAGCCCACGGCUUAACCGUGGGUCUGCGGUGGAUACGGGCAGACUAGAGGCAGGUAGGGGAGAAUGGAAUUCCCGGUGUAGCGGUGAAAUGCGCAGAUAUCGGGAGGAACACCGGUGGCGAAGGCGGUUCUCUGGGCAGUAACUGACGCUGAGGAGCGAAAGCGUGGGGAGCGAACAGG
rnacentral:rRNA from 1 species